rnacentral:rRNA from 1 species
AUUGAACGCUGGCGGCAGGCCUAACACAUGCAAGUCGAGCGGAUGAAGGGAGCUUGCUCCUGGAUUCAGCGGCGGACGGGUGAGUAAUGCCUAGGAAUCUGCCUGGUAGUGGGGGAUAACGUCCGGAAACGGGCGCUAAUACCGCAUACGUCCUGAGGGAGAAAGUGGGGGAUCUUCGGACCUCACGCUAUCAGAUGAGCCUAGGUCGGAUUAGCUAGUUGGUGGGGUAAAGGCCUACCAAGGCGACGAUCCGUAACUGGUCUGAGAGGAUGAUCAGUCACACGGGAAAUGAGACACGGCCCAGACCCCUAAGGGGGGCAGAGGGGGGGAAUAUUGGAAAAGGGGGGAAAGCCUGAUCCAGCCCUGCCGGGUGUGUGAAGAAGGUCUUCGGAUUGUAAAGCACUUUAAGUUGGGAGGAAGGGCAGUAAGUUAAUACCUGGCUGUUUUGACGUUACCAACAGAAUAAGCACCGGCUAACUUCGU